rnacentral:tRNA from 1 species
GGCUUUGUAGUGGAAAAAAGACGCCAAGCUGCAAUCUUGGAGAUGUAAUGUGUUUGUUACCUUAGCUU